rnacentral:lncRNA from 1 species
CCCGCCCGCCGACCCCCUCCCCCCACACCUGCGGGCAGCACUAUUUAUAACUCCGCGCCUGUUCCGGGCCUCUCGGCUGGAGCCGGCUGCCGCGCGCGCGGCGCUAAUCGCCGCCGGGAUCUCUUCGCCCCCCAGGGCCGGGGGGGAGGUAAAUUUAGCUUCAGGAAGCUCCGGGGAACAGGUUCCAAAACUCCACGUCUCGCAGCGGGCUAGACGGACCCCUGUGCGCAGCCCUCCCCGGCCGGCCACCAGGCGGCGCAGGUCCCCGGCCCCUGGGAGCCAGCCUGCUGGGAGUUAGGGUCGCUACUUUGAUUUUUUGUUUGUUUUUUUGAGUUAGGGUCUCGCUGUGUAGUUCAGGCUGGCCUUGAACUUGUGGCAAUCCUCCUGCCUCAGUCUCCCUCCCGAAUGCGCACUACACCCAGCGGGCGUCGCUGCUUUGAAGCUGGAGUAGGUAAAGGGCAGAGAGCUGACCAGUGAACAACAGCUGGAAGAAUGAGUCCUCCUCACCAAGGCUGAGAGCUGUUGGCCAGAAAGGCUCUUCUGGAUUAGGUGGAAGGGCAGUUGGGGCCGCCACAUGAGCCAUUCUAGAGCAAGAGAAAUUUAGAGUUCAGGCAAGGACACAGCUCUGCAUGAGUCACUGAGCUGCCUGGGAUAAGAAACAAUUUGAGAGUUCGAACACUGUAGAGUACUAGGCUGCCAUCAAAAGGACCACUGUAGCAUCGUGGGUGCUGUGUGAUGUAUACAAAGGGAGAAAAGGCAAGGUACACAGCAGUGUGCAGAGUAUGUGAACAGCUACCAAGGAUAAACAUGUCCGGAAUCCAGUCAGUCCUCACAAUGCUACUGCUCUAAGCCUGGCGGGGUCACCAAAGCGUCUGGAUUAUUCUCACUACCUCCUGAGAGGUCUCUCUCUCUUUGCUUUUUUGGGGACAGGGUCUCACUGUGUAGAUCAGGCUGGCCUUGAACUCACUAUGUAGCCCAGGCUGGCCUCCAACUUGCAUUGAUCCUCCUGCCUCAGCCUCCUGAGGGCUGCAAUUACAGGCCAGGAGAUCUCUUACAUUCUUUUUU